UGAGCAAUCCAGACGGUCGCGCGGCGUUUUUCGCCGUGAGGAAAGUCCGGGCUCCGCAGAGCAUGGGUGCCGGAUAACGUCCGGCGCGGGCAACCGUAGGGAAAGUGCAACAGAAACACACCGCCGAAACAGGGGCUCCGGCCCGCUGUGGCAAGGGUGAAAUGGUGCGGUAAGAGCGCACCGGCGUUCCCGGAGACGGGGCGGCCGUGUAAACCCCACCCGGAGCAAGGUCGAUAGGGAUGGCCCGGCGCCGCACGCCGGACGGCUGCUCGUCGUAUCCCUUACAGGCGGACCGCAGGCGGACGGCGAUUUCGCCCGUCCCGGAGGUCGCCGGAAACGGCGGCCCCAGAUAGAUGACCGUCGCCUGCCCGAUCGGGCGGGACACAGAACCCGGCUUACGGGUUGCUCA
rnacentral:RNase_P_RNA from 1 species